rnacentral:rRNA from 1 species
UAAGGAAAAAGAGAAGGGCGCACGGGGGAUGCCUAGGCUCUCGGAGGCGAAGAAGGACGCGACAAGCUGCGAAAAGCUGCGGGGAGGCGCAAAUGGUCUGAGAUCCGCAGGUGUCCGAAUGGGGGAACCCGGCCGGCUGAAGGCCGGCCACUCCACCGGAAAGGUGGAGGGCGAACGCGGGGAACUGAAACAUCUAAGUACCCGCAGGAGAAGAGAACAAGAGUGAUUCCGCCGGUAGUGGCGAGCGAAAGCGGAGGAGCCCAAACCGUCGGGGUUGCGGCCCCGGCGGGGUAGUAGGACUGAGGAAUGGACUUGCGGAGGUUAUCGGAACUAUCUGGAAAGGUAGGCCGGAGAGGGUGAAAGCCCCGUAUGAGAAAACGAUCCGCAUACCGAUCAGUAUCCUGAGUAAGGCGGGACCGGAGGAAUCCUGUCUGAAUCGGCCGGCACCAUCCGGCAAGGCUAAAUACUCCCGAGAGACCGAUAGUGGACAAGUACCGUGAGGGAAAGGUGAAAAGGACCCCGAACAGGGGAGUGAAAUAGUACCUGAAACCGUGCGCUUACAAGCGGUCGGAGCCCUUUAGGGGGUGACGGCGUGCCUUUUGCAUAAUGAGCCUACGAGUUGCGGUGACCGGCGAGGUUAAGGGCCAGGAGGCCCGGAGCCGAAGUGAAAGCGAGCCUGAAGAGGGCGUAGAGUCGGUUGCUGCAGACGCGAAACUUAGUGAUCUACCCAUGGGCAGGCUGAAGGACGGGUGACACCGUCUGGAGGGCCGAACCGAUAAGCGUUGAAAAGCUUCCGGAUGACCUGUGGGUAGGGGUGAAAGGCCAAUCAAACUGAGAGAUAGCUCGUACUCCCCGAAAUGUCUUUAGGGACAGCCUCGCGGGUGUGUGAUACGGAGGUAGAGCUACGGAUAGGAUGCGGGGGUUUCACCGCCUGCCAAGUCCUGACAAACUCCGAAUGCCGUAUCAUAGACGCGGGAGUGAGGGCGCGGGUGCUAACGUCCGUGUCCGAGAGGAGAAGAAUCCAGACUGCCGGCUAAGGUCCCCAAGUGCGGGUUAAGUUGAAAAUAACGCGGUUCCGGAGCAGAGACAGCCAGGAUGUUGGCUUGGAAGCAGCCAUACAUUCAAAGAGUGCGUAACAGCUCACUGGUCGAGCGCCGGAGCAUGGAUAAUAAGCGGGCAUGAAAUCCGCCACCGAAGCUGCAGAACUGAGAAGUUGGUAGGGGAGCAUUCCAUUUUCGUAGAAGGUGAGCCGAAAGGCUUGCUGGAGGGAAUGGAAAAGCAAAUGUAGGCAUAAGUAACGAGAAGGCGGGCGAGAAACCCGCCCACCGAAAGACCAAGGUUUCCUGAUCAACGCUAAUCGGAUCAGGGUAAGCCGGGACCUAAGGAUAAGCCGAAGGGCGAUUCCGAUGGGAAGCCGUUGAAGAUUACGGCGCCGGCGCAUGCUGCGAAGCGGGGACGAAGGAGUGAACCGUCCGCGCGCUGACGGAAUAGCGCGUUGAAGGGUGUAGGUAGACGCCUCCCAGGGAAGUCCGGGGGGAGUGCCGAACCUGACAGUACCGCGAGGCUUCGGCCGGGCGGACAGAGGCGGAAAGCAGGCUUCCGAGAAAAGCCGCUAAGCUACAGGCAUGCGGUGCCCGUACCGUAAACCGACACAGGUGGUCGAGGAGAGGAUCCAAAGGUGCUCGAGAGAUUCAUGGCUAAGGAACUAGGCAAAAUGACCCUGUAACUUCGGGAGAAAGGGUGCCCGCCUGACGGCGGGCCGCAGAGGAGAGGCCCAGGCGACUGUUUAACAAAAACACAAGGCUAUGCGAAAUUGAAAAGAUGAAGUAUAUGGCCUGACACCUGCCCGGUGCCGGAAGGUUAAGAGGAGAGGUUAGCGCAAGCGAAGCUUUGAAUCGAAGCCCCGGUAAACGGCGGCCGUAACUAUAACGGUCCUAAGGUAGCGAAAUUCCUUGUCGGGUAAGUUCCGACCUGCACGAAUGGUGUAA